AAGAGAAACAGAGUCCAGAGUUGCUCUGGGCGUGGCGAGGUUUCAGGAUCUACCUUACCUGCAGAUUCUCAAGCCCCAAAACCAACUCAUUCUGAGUAGUAGCAGAAACGAAAACCAGAAAGCAUGGCGGCCAUAAGCCUGGGCUGCGCAGUCAGCCAGCUCGUAUUUGACUCCAGCGUUGCUCCUUGCUGUGUGACUGAGGCAAGUAACCUGUAAGGAAGAAAUAGAUCCCAGUCCUCUCCCCCACUGUUGCAGUGGGGGACAUAAUGAGCCAAGGUGUGCAAAGUCUUUACCUGGCAUGGAGCCCCAGUGUGUGGCCUUCUCUUUCAGGAUGAACAGCUCUGUGGGAAAGCAUUUCCAUUUAUUCUAAGUGGGCCCUGAAGUUCCGAUGUGGGCUUGAGAAGGGCUGGGGCAAUAUCUGGAUAGCCCCUCUCUCAGACCACCACUUUGGGCUGGAUGGGAAUCUGAUGUGAUUAGACCCAGGGAAUUCCAGUGGAGUCACUGACAUCUUCUUAGCUUGAUUAAAUCAUCCAGGACACUCUUUCCCACUGCAUCUCAAAGAUCUUUCAUCCUCAUCCUGCCUGAGGAUAACGGGCUUUCUGUUAUUCCUCCAGGAUAUGGGUUCAUUUCAGCUUGAGGGGGACCAGAAGAAAGAAACCCAGCAAGGCUCUGCCCUGCAGAUUAUGGGAGCUCACCCUAGCCUUCAGUGGUACCAUUUAAAGCAUUACUUUUAUUUAAAAAACAAACAGCUGUAGUAUCUUUAUAAAGUGGUAUAUUUGCCCAAGUUUAAGCUACUUCAUUUUGCUUUGCUGAGAGCUGAUUUGGGCAUGUUUACUCUCCUCUGUCACUAGGAUUACCUUGCUGGGAAAGUUCAAGGGGUUUGGUUUUUGGAUCUGUCUGGCCUUGAGACUCUUGUGGCUGUGGUUCAGCUAAAGAUACUUGGUGGCUGAGGUACAAGCUCAGAGACAGGUUCUAGCAUCAAGAACGGCAGGCCAAAAGCUAAAUGAGAACUGAGAAGGCAAGUUCGAAGCCAGCUCCGAAACUUUUCAAGAAAUAUCCUUGUUGCUAAUACCGUGCCUGGGGGCUGGCUGGGAUUCUAGGAUUAGUGUUCAGGAGAUAGAAAUGGGUAACAGCGGGGGAGGUGUGAUCUUUCCCAAGUGCCAUACCAGCUAUUAAAAUAAACAGGCUCCUGCUUCUUAGUGCUGCGUGUGGCAGGGAAAAAAAUCUGGGUCCAAGCAAAACCGGAAGUACUAAUGCAUGCAGUGGGAAAAAGGCCCAGACCACCGAGUCCUCAGAAACGACAUACCUGAGGCCCAUUCUAGGGGCAGAGAACAGUGUAGUCUCAGGUGUAAGUCCUGGGGUGGGGGCGGGGUGCCAGCUGCUCAGCGCAUAUGGCCAUGCUUGGGACUUAGCAAAGCUGGAUGCGGUGAGGAGGAGGGGAGAACCUUUUAUGGAGUCAAAGAGGAAACUGCCAUUGCAGUCAGAACCCCUGAAAAACAGGUGAUGCCGAAUUCAGAUGGGCAGGGGACCAGGAUGAACAGGUGUCGGCACUGAGUGCUUUAACAUUCUACCACAAAUAUUGCUGUACAUGAGUAUAGAUGACAGGCUCUCCCUGUCAGUGAGUCCUAACUGGCUCAACAUUACCUUGGGAAUUUUUAGAGUAACUUAUUGUGCCUGUGUGUGUGUGUGUAUGUAGGCCAGAGGGCAACUUUUGGGAGUUGGUUCUCUCCUCCCACCAUGAGGGUUCCAGGGAUGUAGUUCAGAUAGCUACAUCUGAACUUAGCACCGAGCCAUCUCGCCCUCAUCAUAACUCAAUCAUUGAACAUGACGAUCUGUCAUUUUUGAAAGCUCUCCAGGUGACCUGUGAUCUGAGCUGGGUCCCUCUGGGGGCCUUGCUUGACCAUAUCCUAGAUAGAUAGAUCUUAAGACUGCUCUUCAGGGGCCUGGAGAGAUGGCUCAGAGGUUAAGAGCACUGGCUGUUCUUCCAAAGGUCCUGAGUUCAAUUCCCAGCAACCACAUGGUGGCUCAUAACCAUCAGUAUUGAGAUCUGGUGCCCUCUUAUGACCUCCUGGCACACAUGCAGGCAGAAUUAAAAAAAAAAACAAAACAACAACAAAAAAAACCCCGCUUUUCAGAUGCCUGACCCUCAACUUCAACUAAGGGACCCUUUCCUUUCCGGGGUUCCCACUAAAGCUUGGAAUCCCAGCAAAGGGCCACUAGUUGCCAAGGGCAGUUCAGUGUCUAGAUACCAAACCCUGUCUAUACUUGUUCAAGGGCUUCUUGCUGUUGCUUCCUCUCUAUGCUCUUUCCCUAGCUGCAGGCUUCGGGAGACACUGAUGCCGUCGGCUCAUCAAACCACACAGGUGUCCCUAGCAAUACAAUAAUUCUGGACUCCUUGGGAUGAUUUAAGGCAGUGGCUAUUUUCUUUGCUUGGGAACGUGCAGGCCCUGGGUUCGAAAGGCCUUUGCAUCUGAAUGCUUUGCGACAUCCUGGUAACAGGUGUCCUGGAGCCGCUUGGCUAUGUCCCUGCCCUUGGCUGUGUUGGCAGAUACUGACAACCCAAGGGGAAGGCCACUGCCAUUCCACUUGGUGCCCCGGGAACAGCUGGCUGCGUGACAGGGCUCCCCGAGCACGCCCGCCUUCCUGAAUUUGUGGUGACUCGAAACUCGUACUACAGGUGGCUUUCUGACAUAAACGCUUUUUCUCAAUUCUAAUUUCAUCUGGCUGAACCCCUUGGGAGGGCUAAAGCCAUUAAAAACAACAACAAAAAAUGGUUACUAAGGUCCCUUCUCUGGUCAGCUAUCUUUUGUCCUGAGGUGUCAGUUCUGAGAAAAAAGUACACGCUACAAACUUUAUUUUGUGUAAAUGGGUUUAUUGACGAAUACACAAGGUCAAGCCUCCCCAAACCCCACCCUCCCCAAGAACAGAUCCAAACAAGAACAGGAGACUGAGCAUUCUCAGGACAACCUUGACCCUCCCACACCUGGCUCUAGCAUCCCAAGCAUCCAACACAGACACAUGGACCAGGCUUGGCUGGGGACAAACCCUCAGGGAAUCUGAUCAGAAAGAGCUCUGGUGUGUUUGCUUCCCUGUCCAGUUUGCAUGAGAGGCACACUUAGGCCAAGGAGAGCGGAUACAGGGUAACCUGACCCCAGUUCUCUCACUCUGGCUAAGCUCAAAAGGGGCCUGAAGGGAAGCUGUGGCAAAGGCAACAGCCUGUCUCUUUAGGAAAGGUCCUUGCAUGUGAAGCACCAUCCGAUAUUCUGAACUCUGCCUCGGGUGAGGUGAAAUGAGAGGCGGGCUCCCCAAGGGGUCCAACAUCACUGACCGGCUCAGGCCAGCAGAGAACCAUAGCUGUUAUCUGUCACUGGUGGAGAGCUGAGAAAGGCCUCAGUUUCUGGGGUGGGAACAUCCUGGUAUAAAAUUAUUCUCUGCUUGCCCUCACACAUACUCUUUCAGGAACUACAGUUCACUCUGAGAUGAGAACACUGUUGUCUGUAGUGCGAACCCCUUACACUACUUCUAUCUAGCUGACUCCAUGAAUGAGUCUCAACAAGGGAACCUUGUCAACUUGCUUUUUCCACCCAACAUAUCACCAACCUACCUGCCUCCCACACAAUCCUGCAGUAUUUCCUAUUCCCCACAUGGUGAGGGAGGGAUGUAUUUCCUUUUCACCAGCCAACAAUCCUGCUAAAGAUUCUCCAGGCUUAAGGAACUUGAGAGAAGCUUUGCAACUGGGAGAAAACAGGGUCACUCCAGACACACUGUUUAAGGAAGUUGGUUUCUACUCUCAUUUUCCACAAUCUCUUCCUCUGGAUCCAGUGGGUCAGGUCUGAGUCCAGAAUGAGGUCUUUGGACCGUGGCAUGCUUCUGCCUUGAGCAGGGGACUCCGAGUGGCCUCCGAAUACCAGGUGCCAGGCUGUGCAGCAAGUGCCACAUCUCGGUGUGGCAUAGUCAACAGUACCGAGAACGGUGGUGAGUAUGAGGCAUUCUUUGAUGAGUCAGACCAAUGUGUCAGGGAGGGGACCUCAUAUCCACGGCCCUUUGAGAGAUGACAAGAACUACAAGGCCUGGGACAAUCUUACUCUGCUUUGGAGCUUCAGUACCAUGGCUGAAGAGGAGACAGCUGAGGGGCAAUGAGAACUGGCAACUUCUCCACACACUUCUCCACUCCCUGGCCUCCAGAACUGGGCCUCUAGGAAAGCCUGGCAAAUGUCAGUGCUGCUUUCACUCGUUACCUGGAUGUACAUUCAGGUACCCGAGAAGAGGUCAACUGCCACCUGACAUCAAUGAAUGAGUGGAACACCAAACUCAGUAUGGAGUGUGCAAAGGGCCACAGGCAGGCACAGGAAAGGCAGAAGGCUUUGAGGAAAGGAACAAUAGUGAGCCAGCCACACAGGGAAGCUGAUGGAGCUUCAGGGAACCAGCCUAAGUUCUGCUAUGCAAGAUCCAAGAGGCCUCAGCAAUAAUAAAUUUUGCCUGUUACCUUUCUUUGUAGAAAAACAGGGUUGGACAAGUCAUUAAAGUCCAUUUUCACUCUUAAACAUUGAUUUUUAGAUCUGAACCAGCCCUGAAAAAUACAGGAAAGAAGGCUAGGGGAGGGCGCUGUGCUUAUUCAUCUCUACUCAGCCUCCUUAGUCAGUAUGAUUACUGGGGUACCACAGUGGAAAGGAGCAUAGCUCUACCACCUCUCAGCGCUGUCCCUGGUGAGUGUCCUUGUACUCUGAAACGUCACUGAAGACCACCACUGCCAAGCAUGGAGUCAUUAAAUAAGAUGGCAUGGGUCAUAAGGAGCUUGAAGGCCAAGGAAAGAAUUAAGAUAGAGGGGAAAAGCAAAGAUGUAAAUGACCAGGAGUGGGGUUGCCACAGACAAGAGAAACCCCCUCCCUGCCCCAGAAGGGGCCAGGAGCCAAUCCUGCAUCUCCUCUAAGACUGUGUUUGAUGAUGGUCAGUUGCCCUUCCUACUCAAUGUUCUCAGUUUCUCAUCUGUACAAAAAUAUAAAACAAUAAGGUGCAGUUUAUGUUUCAGUGACACUUUUCCUUGCUUUAAUUUGUUGGCUUUUUCUGCUUGUGAAAUGAGCUUUCGAUUACAAAAUAUCAAACUACACUCAAAAGAGGGUGUAGAAAAAGCUAGCCAUUGGCACAGCAUGGAGAAGCUCACUAGUAAGGACAGAGAGCGGCAGCGGGUGGCAGAGGUUGGGAAUGAUGGAAGCAGUGGUUACAGAUGUCACAAGAAGCUAACCUAUCCAACAGGGUGAAUGCUGAAGUCAGCACAGGACGACUGGUCACUACCGGGGUGCGUGCCGCAGGGUUUGGGGUCAGGCUCUACACAGCAGUACGAUUUCUUCCAGUUUAGAGUUCUUGGCUUGCACCGAUAACAGGGUGACUGGAGGGCACAGGACCCAUUUAUUAGUUUUUCAAAAUGCUGUCGUAGACCUGAUAGAUGUACUGAGAGACUUCGGGGGCUCUGCACUUCAGCGACAGCUGUGAAGAGGAGGAGAACGAAGAUUAGCAUGGAGACGGCAUUGGCCCUAAAGGCAUCUGAGCAUUCAGAUCAAGACAAAUUCUGACAUUCUGAGAGACUCUAUCAUUGGGAUAGCCAAGCAGAGAGCUCACAUUAAUACAAACCCUGAGUAACACACACCCCGCCUUCGUUGGUGUCAAGCUGCGCUGUGUGUCUACAGCCCGUGUGGCUUCCCCAGAAACCCUGGAUGAUUUACCACAGGAGAUAAGCUGGAAAUAUACUGAAGGAAAAAAAAAAGGUUCUCACUAUGUUGCUCUGACUGCUCUGGAACUCUCUGGAGACCAAGUUGGCUUCAAACUCAAGAGAUCUGCCUCAUCUGCCUCCUGAAUGAUGUAAAAGGCACCAAGUGCUUUUUUAUUUUUAUUUUUUAAAUAAAUGUAUAGUUAUUUUAUAA